UCUAUUCUUUAAAUGGCACUCUGGCAAAAUGUGCAAUCUGAAACAGCCACCACAAAUAGUCACCUAUUCCGAUAGUAGUUUUAACACUUUUCUGUGAUAUUCAAAAUUAAGAAGAUUCUGUGUUUAUUAUGUAAUCUUCCAAGUGUAUUACAACACGUAAACGUGUGGUUCUCACAAUGGCCUCGGUCCGAUUAUUCUUUGACUAAGUAAACACCUUUUUAGACUAUGCCAAUUACGGCCGAGGUUAGAACUAGGGCAGAGUAGGAGGGGUCUUACACGGGCAGCACUAUAAAUCGACUCACGGCGCCGCGGCGCCCUUCCAAGGACGCGCGACCUACGGGUCAUCGGGCUGAUUAUUAACCAACUUCGCCGGUCUCCGCAGUACGGCAGUACGUCCGGCCGCCCUGGCGAUGUCACUGGUAUUCCGGGAUAGCUCACUGAGCCAGAACAUGCCGAUCGGGGACUAUGACCCAUACUGCUGUGUGCUUAUUGGGAGUUAUUUAACGUUCUCGAUAGCGUAAAAGUUAAGUGAAAUUUGUAUGCAGUUGGAACAGCGCCCCUAGCGGCAAACGUAGGCAAAUGUUCCAACUCCUUACAAAUUUGAGUUAACUUUUACGCUAUCGAGAACGUUAAAAAACUCGCACUAAGCACACUAAUGCCGGUGCGCUAGAGUGACGGCAGUGUGCGGCGCAACCAUGACCACCUCAGGUGACCGUGUGACCAUCAGCGGGAGCCAGUAAUUUUUAUGGUAGGCAGCGGCUUGGCUCUGCCCCUGGCAUUGCUGACGUCCAUGAGCGACGGUGACCACUUACCAUCAGGUGGGCCGUAUGCUCGUCUGCCUACAAAGGCAAUAAAAAAAAAACGUAUCAGUUUGAAUUCCGCUAGUCAAUGUUUAAUAGUAACUAUCUAUAGUAAAAAAUGAUAUUAGCUCGAAACAUAUGAUUUUACUAACAUUUUGUUUUCGUACCUUUUAUUUUUCAAAAUAGCGCACAAUAUCUUUGAUCGGAAUUAUAUUUGUAAUUGUUGAAUAAUUAUAGUUCAACAGUAGGUAACUCUGUAUUUUAUUUCAUUUUAGUAUUAUAAUAUUUAUUAGGUAGAUAUUUAGGUUUUGUUUUAAGGUAUAUAAUUAUUUUAAGUGCGAAACUGCAUGGUAAUAAUAUUAAAUGGGCUUACUUUAAAAAUCUAUUUAGCUAAUUUGAAAUUAUUUUUAAUGCACUCGGUCACUAGUGCAAAUCAAUGAUGUACCUAUUCUAAUUUAAUGUAAAUAAUAGUUUAUUCUAUUUUUUCUAUUCUCUCACUUCAUUUUGGUUUCACAUUUAAAUGUCUCACGGUAAGUAAAAUGUUAUUUUCUUUGAGGUAGUCAGCUAAAUUACCAGCUUACUAUAUUAUAUUAUCUGUGAGCUACGCUCAUUGCCAGGGAUAACGCUAGGCAACUUCAUCUGUACUAAUAUAUUAGUUUUAUUAGAUAAAAAACAGAAAAUUCCAAGUACAUACCUAGUUAAGACUAAAAUUAAAAUGAAUCCAUAUUAUUUCAUUUCAAUUUGAUUUUCAUACAAAAUUCUAAAACAUUUAAUUUAAAAAAACCGUUUAAUAUUGAAUGACAUUGAAUUCAAAAUGGCGCUUUAUAAUUAUAAUGAGUAGGUAUUUGUUACAUCUUAGCCGUCAGGUUUCUAACCCUUUUAAGUGUUUUGGAAACCAAUGAAUUCAAUGAUGUAGGUUUACGGUAAUGCAAAAGGAAAAAAAAAAGGUAAUUUAUUAAUCUAUUCUUUUUUUAUCAUAGUAAGUAGGUACAUAUUAGCCAUCACGCUCGGCUAUCAAAAUAUUUAUUUAAAAUAAACCAUUUUUCAUUUAAAUUACAUUAGCCUGUUUCGAUUGAUUUCGAUUGCUUGUAUGAUUCACAAGAGGCUCUCAAAAACAAAUGAAGUCACACGGAUAGUUUUUAGGAAUAAAACUAAAAUUUGAAUUAAUUAAGACUUUGAAGUACAAAAUACGUCAUCACAUAUAUUAUUAAAACAUCAAUUAAUUUUGUGGUACCUAGUAAAUAUUUUACUUUGAUUUUAUAUGUUGUGAGAAUGCUCUGUUUCAAGAAUUUAAUAAAAGUAAAUAUUUUUGUAAUUGUACAAUUGCUUGCAACGACAAUUUGGAUACAGUUUAAAUCACAGUGCAUAUUAUGAUUUUAAUGCAUUAAUUGUAAUAAUUUUACUUUCAAAAGACAAAUUCAGUCAAUCCUUCUAAUGUGUUUACUGUACAAGUAGUUAUUCUUGAUCGACAAUUUAUUACUUUUCAUAACAAUAAUUGUUUUCAUUGGCGAUUUUAUUUCAAAAAAGUAACUUUGAAACCAGCCUUCGCAGUAUCGUUAGCGUAUUUCUCUAUUCAUAGCUUUAUUACCUAAACUUACAUUUUUAUUUCACGAACUAUUUAAAUUAUUUUUUCCGUUUUGGAGCCAAGUAAUUAUGACGUUUUUUAUAAAUUAGUUUUUGGCACUGAAGUAGGAAACCUAGCUAAUGCUAAAAAACUGGUCUAAUCUAUGGUUAGGAAUAGGCAAAAAAAGAGAAAGAAUCUAUGUUUAUUUUUUAGUUUGUUUUAGCCCCAAAUGAAAUUUGUUUUGUAAAAAUAACCCGCUACCAAAAGUUUCCGGUUCUCUAUUGUUGUAAGCCAGAAAAAUCAACCACGUAUUUUAAGAUAAGUAUAAAUCUGAAUUCGAUUGCAAGCAAAUGUAUCUUUAUUUGCGAAGAUUCAACUGUUGGCACGUCUCUAACGCAUCAAUGAAAAGGUAAACAUGAGCUGGAGUGCUAUAUAUAUUGUUAUGUAGAUAUUAUGUAUUUCGCACACUAAGAUCUCAUGAAAAAGCAUAAAAAGCAGGGUUACUAGAAACUGUCGCUUCAAUUAUGAAAGCCUGGGCCAUUUUAUAAUUGGCAACACAAUUAUAAAUGCUAGUCUUUUUAGCAUAUUGUUUUAAAAUAGUGGCAGCACAGAAAUAUUUGUUUUAUAUAUUAUCACUAAAUGAUGAUUAAAUGUUUGUAUGCGGUUAGAUGCAGAAUUGCAUGGAUACCUUUUUAUUUCAUAAUCCUAAAAACCUUUGAUUAUAGUUGCAUAUUAAAAAUAAAUAUGGCGUCACUAAGUUAGGUAGGUACUGUAGGUAGUGGACUAAACUGUGCACUAAGUGUACGAGCCAAGACGAGCCGACCUGAUGGUGAUUGGUUAUCGUCGCUCAUGGAGGUCAGCUAUGCCAGGGGCAGAGCUAAGCCGCUGCCUACCGUAGCACACUAUCUAUGUUUGCCAAAGUUGCGGCUUUAGAAAUAUAGUUACCGGCGAGGAAAUCAAUUUUACAUACGAUAAUUAUUUUGAUUGACACUACAAUAGUUGAAUACAGAAAAGUAGGAUUGUAAUGUAACUACUAUAGUCUACUAUAGUGUAACUACUAUAGUCGAUAGAUGGCGCUAUUUAAUUAAAUGCUCAUGAUCAAUAGUGGUGUCCAUGGAGUUUUGCAGCCCGUUGUAGAACAUUUUAUGUACGGUACCUAUUAUACCAUAUUUUUGUUUUAUUGUUGUGACGUAGGUUAUUAAAAAAAAAACAUAAAUAAAAUAUUGUUUAUGGAGCUUAAAACAAAAGUAAUUUUAGUUAAAUGACUCGGGUAGAAUAGAGAAUAAUUCAGUGAGAUACAAAAGAUAUCGAGCUCAAAUUAUUAGCACCUUAAGUUAGAUUCGUGAAUUUCUAUAGAGAAGGCUCUGAAAUCGCAAAUUUUUCACACGAUUCAGAGGCGUGUCGAAUCAAGUUCAAAAUGGUGUGUGCCGAUAUCUGUUUGAGCAUUUCAAUUUAGAUUCAGGGUUCUAACAGCAUCCAAUAGUUCAGACGCUGUGUGUUACAUACUUAGCUUAGGUCUUCUUGAGGCUUUGCCCACAUAUAAAGCUGAGUGGCAGCAGGUUGUGAUUGUUCAUCAGGUUUGAGCCCCGUGAGCUCACCUACAAAAGUUAGGGUUACGCUGAUAUAGCCUCUCAAGGCUAUCAGCUAAGGUAGGAAAAAAAAAAAAAAGUGAUUGAUAUCUAUGGGCUAUGGUAAAAUCAGCAUACUUAGGGACAAUAAAAACUGAUUACAACCACUUUAUUAAAUGAUCUCUUAAAGUUAAUUACUUAGGAAAUCAUGUCAGUUUAGAAAUUAAGAAAUCUCAUUGACAUAAUGUGUUAUUAAACCCAAAUUGUAUAUUUUGUUUAUUUAUCGGCGUUUUACCUGUGUUUUUAAGUAUGUAAAAAAAUCUCGCAGAUUCGUUGCCGUGUAAGUCUAGAUUAAAAUAUAAAAUGAUGAUAUACUGAUUAUCAAUAUGAGAGAAUUCAUAUCGGAAAUUUUGUAUCACAUUGAAAUAUUUUCUAUUUUAAUGAAGAAUCUAGAUUCCUAGCUUAGUAAUAUGUUUUUUAUAGAAUGUAAUUUUUAAAUUAUGAUUGUAUUUUGCCAAUGUUCACUGUCGUUAAUGACAAAAAUCUGCCAUUUUUACGUACCCAUAGUUUUUAAAGAUUGUAUUAAAUGUAUAUGUGAUCAGGAA